CGGCGUGCCUAACACAUGCAAGUCGAACGAGAAAGUGUGACUGUAGCAAUACAGUUGCACCAGUAAAGUGGCGAACGGGUGAGUAACACGUAGCUAACCUACCCUCGAGCGGGGAAUAACCCGGGGAAACCUGAGCUAAUACCGCAUAACAUUCCGGUGACUUAAGCCAUUGGGAUCAAAGGCCCGCAAGGGUCACUUGAGGAGUGGGGCUGCGGCCGAUUAGCUUGUUGGUGGGGUAAUGGCCUACCAAGGCAAUGAUCGGUAGCCGGCCUGAGAGGGCUGCACGGCCACACUGGCACUGAGAUACGGGCCAGACUCCUACGGGAGGCAGCAGUGGGGAAUUUUGCACAAUGCCCGAAAGGGUGAUGCAGCAACGCCGCGUGAGGGAUGAAGGCCCUCGGGUCGUAAACCUCUCGAUCGGGAAAAAUGGACGGGUGAAGAGCCCGNUCUGAUGGUUACCGGAUGAAGAAGCCCCGGGCAACUACGU
rnacentral:rRNA from 1 species